AGAGCGAACGCUGGCGGCAGGCCUAACACAUGCAAGUCGAACGCCCAGCAAUGGGAGUGGCAGACGGGAUAGUAACACGUGGGAACGCGCCCUUCGGUUCGGAAUAACUCAGGGAAACUUGAGCUAAUACCGGAUACGCCCUUACGGGGAAAGAUUUAUUGCCGAAGGAACGGCCCGCGUCGGAUUAGCUAGUUGGUGAGGUAAUGGCUCACCAAGGCGACGAUCCGUAGCUGGUCUGAGAGGAUGACCAGCAUCACUGGGACUGAGACACGGCCCAGACUCCUACGGGAGGCAGCAGUGGGGAAUAUUGGACAAUGGGCGCAAGCCUGAUCCAGCCAUGCCGCGUGGAUGAUGAAGGCCCUAGGGUUGUAAAGUCCUCUUAACGGGGAAGAUAAUGACGGUACCCGUAGAAUAAGCCCCGGCUAACUUCGUGCCAGCAGCCGC
rnacentral:rRNA from 1 species